rnacentral:tRNA from 1 species
AAGGGUGUAGCUCAGUGGCAGAGCACGUGCUUAGCAUGCACAAGGUCCUGGGUUUAAUCCCCAGUCCCUCCA